rnacentral:rRNA from 1 species
UACGUAGGGUGCGAGCGUUAAUCGGAAUUACUGGGCGUAAAGCGUGUGCAGGCGGUCUGUUAAGACAGAUGUGAAAUCCCCGGGCUUAACCUGGGAACCGCAUUUGUGACUGCAUAGCUGGAGUACGGCAGAGGGGGGUGGAAUUCCGCGUGUAGCAGUGAAAUGCGUAGAGAUGCGGAGGAACACCGAUGGCGAAGGCAGCCCCCCUGGGCUAACACUGACGCUCAGGCACGAAAGCGUGGGGAGCAAACAGG